GUCUCGCUUCGGAGGUACACAUACUAAAAUUGGAACGAUACAUAGAUGAUCAGCAUUGCCCCUGCGCAAGAGUGACACGUAAAACGUGAAGCGUCCCAUAUUUUC